rnacentral:misc_RNA from 1 species
GUUCAUCUUUCAUUUAGUUUUUAUAAGAAUUAACCCAAGUUUUGAAAUUGUUUCACAGUUUAGACGGUUAAUCAUGUAGUUUAAAGUCAUUGAGAAGCAAUAAUUCAACCCUUAGGCCGCGUGAAUUUUACAUUAGUAAGGCAGGUAGCACCUGAGGAUUACAUAACAAAAUCAUGCUCAUAACGUCACGUGGAUGGAGUAAACUGUUAUAAGAUAUCGCACAUGCAACCUUCUUAGGCAGACUUAAUAUCUGAGAAAAUUUGCAAUGAACGGAUUAACGAAAGCUGUGGUUGCGCUUACACUGUUAUCAUGUGCGUGGGGACAGAGACACAACACCAACUCUUUUGGGCAAGUUCAUCCAUGGGAGCCUAGUUAUAAACCUGACAUGGAUUACUCCACGCACCUGUUGGAGAACCACUACAACCAGUUAGCUUUGCAACAACAACAAGGGUUGCCUCCGUAUCAGCCGGACUACUCAGACGACUAUCAGGGCAGGGGCGGUUUCACUGACCAACGCCUACAACACCCGUCCCUGCCUCAGCACCCUCAGCGCCCAGUCAUGAUCCUACCACCCCAAAACCGUUACCACGCUUCUUUCAAUAGUCGCAUCGGGGGAUUUGGAUUUGGGGGUUGGAAAAUUUGCGAAAAGCGACACAGGAAAGGCGAUUGGUGCAUUGGCGGUUGGAACACUUUUGGCCAAGACUAUCAACAACUGAUCAGAAAAAAGAGUCGAGUAAUGGUCUAGCCUGGACAAAUUGAAACAGCACAAGAAGCGAAAACCAAAACCUAACAUUCUACAAUUGUUUAUGUUUUUAUACAAAUACUCUAAUAAACUGACAUUUAUCAAUGUCUGAGAAUGGGUAGUUUUUGUUUAACUUAUAUAUCUAUAUGUCUGUCAUAACGGUAGUAAAGGGCUACUUUACCGUGGGAUUAGAUGUACAUUAUGUUUUGAUAUUUACAUUUUCAACUGCCUUUGUCUUUGAUAGCUAUACGAUUCGAUUUUGAAGCCUAUAGCCCAAUAAUUUUGUAAAAGCAGCGUGACACAAAAUGGACGUGUCUGAUAGUUUUGGCC